ensembl:lncRNA
AUGUCCUUCCUGUCUGGCUCGCCCUGGCAGCAACCUGGCAUUAUUAAUGGAAGCAGCGGGUACGGACAACCUUCCAGUGGGCAUCAACAGCAGAACCAACCUCCUACUGCCCUCCCGGGGGCCAGCAUCCCUGCAGUCAUGGCCUCCUCGCCGCUGUCACCCUCAAGCCCGGCCUCUGACAGACGGAGCGACCGGCAUCGCCAAGGCCAGCCAGCACCGGGGGGGCAGGUCGCUGGCGCAACACAUCGUGGGUCCGAAAUAACUUUGACGGUGGACGAGGCGAAAUCGGGGCGGGGCAGGGCUGAGGAGCCGUUGUCUGGGACAGUGGCCGAAGCACCGGGGAUUCCAGCGCUGAAGGUAGAGGAUGAGGGGUCCAGAGGGGGGAGACCAAGGGAGGAAGGAUAUAGGAUGGGAUGGACUGGGGGUUCAUUAGGGAGUGCGGGACAAAGACCCAGCAGCCCCCUUUCCUCUCACUCCUCAACUUCCUCUACAUUGCCUUCCCCUUUUAUCCCACCUGGGAGAGUCUUCCCUAAUUCUUUGCCGGACCGUACAGCCGCAUCAAACUCUAAGUUUGGACAAGAUCAUCUGCACCAAAACUAUUUAGGCAUCAAAGAUGGAUCUUACAUCCAAGGAUCUCAAGUGUCCGCCCAAGACCGGAGCAAGCUUCCUCCUUCAAUGCAGGCACCAGGGCAGAGGGAGAGAAACACAUUGGACCCCUGCACUGCAAGUACCAGAUCAAGUCCAGGAAAUACAGAGGAUAAAGAGAAAUCAACGUCCUCUACGUCUCCCGGCCUAUUUGGAAGUCUGAAGGAAAAUUCAGUUGAAGAUUUAACUAAUCAAACGUUAAAGUCAUCUUUAGCAAAGCAAAGUGUUGAUGUCCUACCUACUGAUAAUACUCCCUCUACUGCUAACCAAACAGUAGGUCAAGAUAGAACAGGCCUACCUCUGGGUACGGGGAAGUCAGGGUCAUGUACUCUACCUAGCAGAGACAUGACAGGUGUGCUUGAUGGCCAGUCACACAAUCUUAUCGGUGUUGAAGACAGGAGAAUGGGAUUGUGUGCUGCCUUAAGCGGAGAGACCAAAACUAGCCACAGCAAUGAACUGCCCCAGCGGACCGCAGUGAGACGGGCGAUGUCCGACUGUUCUCACCUGUCUGUUCCCAUGGUGAUGGCCAGAACGUACCCCACAGGUAUGGGAGGAUUGCCAGCAAUGACGCCUAACGUACCGAAUUUCGCCCUGUCGGGAACAGCAUGCCCGCCCCGGGGGCCAUACCCACACGUGGCUGUCCGGCGCUCACUCACAGUCACUGACGCCACAGAUGCUGCAGCCGCAAUGGCCACGAUGAUGUCAUCCCCGUUGAUGACGUCAGCUGCAUUGCCAUCUUCUCCACCUCCAAAGAGGCAUCAUGGGAGCUGCGAGACCAAUGUUUUACUUCCUGUUCCAGUUCCUUCUGGAACGUCCAUGAACAGCAUCCAAGAUAGCAAACUGAACACAACGGGUAAGUUUCCCAUUGUACUCGUAUGUUCGGUUAGAAUUUUUCUGUCGCUCCUGAAAAACUAA